GGUGAAACAUAUCCAAAUAAUUUGACAUCAAACUUAAUGGUUGAUAACAUGUUAUUAUUUUUGCAAUUUUGAUGGUAGAAAGCCUAAAUCACCAUCGCGGGAUUAGGACGCCUUGCACCAUAUCAAAUAACAAAAACAAGUUUAAAUCGAAACUUGCUUACGAAAAGCGGGUGACCUGUACAUUAUUAUGUAAUACAGGUAAGCAUUUCCAUGAGAGGUGUUCAGGUAGGACCAAGGUCAGUAGAAGAUGGAGAAGACAGAGGUUCUUGGUGCGUUGUUGCAAUUUCCACACUUUCAGGGAAGGAACGCACUUGCCAAUGAGGAAGCGAGGGGCUUGUUGCAGCUGUCCAACGGUCUGAACAAGUCCUCAACAAGUAAGAUGACUGGGCAGUGGCUCCCAACUGCUGUUUACCGGGUGAUUGGAUGCGUCGCCGAUCAAAGACAUCAGAUUCAUGUUGGACAUCGCCUGCGCCCAUGCCAAAAUUGUCUCGCUUGUUGAAGUUUGUCUUGUAGUUUAUUUGCAGGGUUGACAUUUGAUAUGAAAUGUAAUCUUUGCCUUGGAUAGUAAUAUUCUGCAUAAAAUUUGUAUAAAAUAAUUGUUGUACGCAGCAGAAUUUUUAACGAAACUUCUGAUCUGAGAAAAAGAAAGAAAUGAAUGGCGUCGACCCUGCAUGUCGCUGGUUAUAUAUGAUACAUUCUUUCUAAAUCGCAGUACAGUACUCUAUCCGCUCAUAUCGUUUCAAGGUAUUUUAUUUAUUAUGUAUUUUUUUAUUGUGUCGGAAGUAAGUACCCAGCAAUUCUCAAACAAAAGUACGGUACUUUUUGGAGUUCACCUUUAACAAAGUAAUUUUAAUGCAAAAAGUAUUUUGCUGAAAUGAUCGAUGAAAACAGAAAUGAUAGUUAUCAAAUAUUAUUAUUAUUAUAAGGCGAUUUUUAGGUAGAGCACUGUGCCAGUGCUAUUGUUUUUCUAGUUGAAGGUAAAAAUUGUCUGUGGGCAAAUCUUCAGUUAGUCACUUAGCUGUGCAUUUGAGAAUAUUUGAAAUAUUUAUUUUGAAUUGAAUUGAAUUGAAU